GUCACGGUGGCUGAGCGGUAAAGCGCUUGGCUUCGAUCCAGGGACCGGGGUUCGAAUCCUGGUGAAGACU
rnacentral:tRNA from 1 species